GAUGAACGCUAGCGGCAGGCCUAAUACAUGCAAGUCAAGGGGCCAGCAAUGGCACCGGCGCACGGGUGCGUAACACGUACACAACAUACCUUUAAGUGGGAGAUAGCAUCGGGAAACUGGUGGUAAUACCCCAUAAUAUUGCGAUGCGGCAUCACAUUGCAAUUAAAGUUUCGACGCUUAAAGAUUGGUGUGCGUCCGAUUAGCUAGUUGGCGGGGUAACGGCCCACCAAGGCUACGAUCGGUAGGGGGUGUGAGAGCAUGACCCCCCCACAUGGGUACUGAGACACGGACCCAACUCCUACGGGAGGCAGCAGUAAGGAAUAUUGGACAAUGGACGAAAGUCUGAUCCAGCCAUGCCGCGUGCAGGAUGAAGGCGCUCAGCGUUGUAAACUGCUUUUGGAUGGGAAUAAUAACCUCGACGUGUCGGGGCUUGAAGGUACCAUCAGAAUAAGCACCGGCUAACUCCGUGCCAGCAGCCGCGGUAAAGUCAGUCG
rnacentral:rRNA from 1 species